CCCCCACAAUUUUUUUUUUUUUUUUUUUUUUUUUUUUGAAUGACCAAAUUUUUUCCCAGCUUAUACUCGUUGGUUAACAAUCCUUGCCCGCUCCUCUCAUGGAUCCCACGAUCUGGCGCAAGGUCGCCGCCAUCUCUGGAGUUGCUGCCCUUGGUCUUGGGACCUACGGCGCCCACGUCUUCAAGCCAAAAAAUUUAGCUUACAAAGAUGUUUGGAACACUGCAUCCCUCUACCAUUUGGUUCACACUGCCGCUUUGCUGUCUGCACCCCUUACUAAACACCCCAACAUUUUUGGGGGACUCCUGACUACUGGGAUUAUUGCCUUCUCUGGAACAUGCUAUACCGUGGCAUAUCUUGAAGAUAGGAAGUACUCUACUCUGGCACCAUUUGGUGGCUUUGCAUUUAUUGGUGCUUGGGCAAGCUUGCUUUUCUGACCAAAAGACAUGCUAAAAGUGUUGUUGCCUGUUCAUAUCCAUCUUGUUCUUCUGCUGAUUAUGUCCGAAGGGUUCCUAAGUCAUCACAGGCUGCGACUAUUCAUGUUUGAACUUGUAAGGCUUCGAUUGGGACGGCUUUCUUACUGCUUCUUAAAGUAGUUUUUUAGUACAAAAAAAUAUUUUUUUCUACUAGAAAGCUGCUUUAAAAAGCAGAAAGAAUGCUGUCCCAAACGAGCCUAAGUCUUUGUUGGAGCUGGGGGUUGCCACCGACUUUAUUGUGGACACAGUAUAAAUCUAGAAUAAGAAUGUUGUAAUAGAAAACUCAUGUUUUACCUGUAAUUUCCAACAGAUUUUGUUAUUUUCUCAUUUGAUAAACAAGUGUAAAGGUCUCCUGAUGUGCCUUUCUAUGUUUUCCUCUCAACUUUCGUAAGAUUUUUUUUUAAACAUAAAACAGGGUGGGAGGUAAAAUGGUUUCCAUUGUGCUUUUGCACUCUUCACGAACUGGAGAAGAAACAUCUAUUAUCAUGCUUGGUAUAUUGUAAAUCUUGAAAGAAUAUGAUCAAUCUUAAUACUGUUUGUUAUAUUUAUUCAA